UGAUUCAUAGCAUCUUUCUAAUCAAGGAAAUCACAGUAGAGAGUGUGACACGGUGGGACUUCAGAUCUCUGCUGCUCUUUUUCCACUGUGUUUCCUUGAUUAUAGAUAUGUGCUGGAUCA
rnacentral:pre_miRNA from 1 species